GAUGAACGCUGGCGGCGUGCCUAAUACAUGCAAGUCGAGCGAACGGACGAGAAGCUUGCUUCCCUGAUGUUAGCGGCGGACGGGCGAGUAACACGUGGAUAACCUACCUAUAAGACUGGGAUAACUUCGGGAAACCGUAGCUAAUACCGGAUAAUAUUUUGAACCGCAUGGUUCAAAAGUGAAAGACGGUCUUGCUGUCACUUAUAGAUGGAUCCGCGCUGCAUUAGCUAGUUGGUAAGGUAACGGCUUACCAAGGCAACGAUGCAUAGCCGACCUGAGAGGGUGAUCGGCCACACUGGAACUGAGACACGGUCCAGACUCCUACGGGAGGCAGCAGUAGGGAAUCUUCCGCAAUGGGCGAAAGCCUGACGGAGCAACGCCGCGUGAGUGAUGAAGGUCUUCGGAUCGUAAAACUCUGUUAUUAGGGAAGAACAUAUGUGUAAGUAACUGUGCACAUCUUGACGGUACCUAAUCAGAAAGCCACGGCUAACUACGUG
rnacentral:rRNA from 1 species